rnacentral:lncRNA from 1 species
UUCACUUAGGACCCACUGUGAAGCUCCCUGCAGUGCUGUCCCUUCGAAGUGAGGACCCAGCUACCCAGGUGCCCAGUCUACACCUGGACACCACGUGGUGAUGACAUCACUUCCUUGUUAAAGCUUGGUGAUUCAUUUCCAUUCCAUGAUCAGUUACUAAUAUAUGCUCUAUGUGAUCUUGCAGGAUUUGUGACCUUGUUAGGAAUAGGAUCCUAACAAGCUCUGCCUGGUUAGAUAUAAAUGUAUUAUCAGAUGUGUUUCAGAUGUCACAUCCUACAGAGGUUUCUUUCUUGAUUCACAGUGGGACACAAUCUCUCCUCACAUGUGCAACUCCCUACAUUUCAACUAUACCCUUUACUGUCUGCCCUCUGUGGAAGUUUUGUAAAUUCAUUUUUUUCUUUUAAGGUUUUAGAAAUUUGAGAGCAAAGCACAUGCUUUUUAAAUAUCUGUAUCCCUGGUGAAGUGUCUGGCCUGCAUGUGACAUGUCCUCAGUGAAAACCUGUGUUGAAUUUAGGUAAGGCUUGGAGGUCCCCCCCCCACCUUGUAUUCUCUGUCUUCUUGACACCCAUGUUGUAAUUGAGACAUUUGAUGCUCAACUAGUUAAAAGUCUUGCUUGGCCAAGAGACUUCAUGCUUUCCUAGUUUUACAGUGCUUUCUCUGAGCUUCUGAGAAGAAACACCUUACCCACUCCGUUAUUCAAUUAUAUGGAACUGUGAGAAUAAAACUUUUGUUCCAAGUGCUCUUAAUUAAAAGAUCAGGGAAGGAUGAAGGUCUUUCUUACAUAUUCAGCAGAUUCAUUACAUUGGAGUUUGGUAGAAAUGUAGACUCUAUGGCCUGGGUCUCAGACUUACUGAAUUAUAAUUUUUGUUUUAACAAAAUCAUCAGAAAGAGUCACAGAUGCAUUUUCAGGUUGAGAGGCACCUCAUGGUGGUGAUACCUGAAAUAUGGCCCAAGUGCAUCACUGAGGAGGGGAUCAAAAAUGGAGUCAAAGUGCUGCUCUUGAGGAC